UGGGCUUGACAUCCCGAUCGUAUUUUAUGGAAACAUAGAAGUCAGCUUGGCUGGAUCGGUGACAGGUGCUGCAUGGCUGUCGUCAGCUCGUGUCGUGAGAUGUUGGGUUAAGUCCCGCAACGAGCGCAACCCUCGUCCUUAGUUACUAACGGUUCGGCCGAGGACUCUAAGGAGACUGCCUUCGUAAGGAGGAGGAAGGUGAGGACGACGUCAAGUCAUCAUGGCCCUUACGGCUAGGGCAACACACGUGCUACAAUGGUUAGGACAAUGAGAAGCGAUACCGCGAGGUGGAGCAAAUCUAUAAACCUAAUCUCAGUUCGGAUAGCAGUCUGCAACUCGACUGCUUGAAGCUGGAAUCACUAGUAAUCGUAAAUCAGCUAUGUUACGGUGAAUACGUUCCCGGGUCU
rnacentral:rRNA from 1 species